ensembl:lncRNA
UUACUGGUACAGAGUCAAUGUGGAGGCUAUAUACAGGGGUACUGGUGCAGAGUCAAUGUGGAGGCUAUAUACAGGGUAUUACGGUACAGAGUCAGUGUGGAGGCUAUAUACAGGGGGUACUGGUGCAGAGUCAAUGUGGAGGCUAUAUACAGGGGGUACUGGUACAGAGUCAAUGUGGAGGCUAUAUACAGGGGUACUGGUAGAGAGUCAAUGUGGAGGCUAUAUACAGGGGGUACUGGUACAGAGUCAAUGUGGAGGCUAUAUACAGGGGUACUGGUGCAGAGUCAAUGUGGAGGCUAUAUACAGGGGUACUGGUGCAGAGUCAAUGUGGAGGCUAUAUACAGGGUGUACUGGUGCAGAGUCAAUGUGCGGGGGCACCGGUGUCGAGGUAAUUGAGGUAAUAUGUACAAUAUGUAGGUAGAGUUAUUAAAG